CGGGGUGCAGCAGGCGCGAAACCUUUGCAAUACACGAAAGUGUGACAGGGCUAUCCCGAGUGCCAUCCGCUGAGGAAGGCUUUUACCCAGUCUAGAACGCUGGGGGAAUAAGGAGAGGGCAAGUCUGGUGUCAGCCGCCGCGGUAAUACCAGCUCUCCGAGUGGUGUGGAUGUUUAUUGGGCCUAAAGCAUCCGUAGCUGGCUAAGUAAGUCCCUUGUUAAAUCCACCGAAUUAAUCGUUGGAUCGCGGGGGAUACUGCUUGGCUAGGGGACGAGAGAGGCAGACGGUAUUUUCGGGGUAGGGGUGAAAUCCUAUAAUCCCGGGAAGACCACCAGUGGCGAAGGCUGUCUGCUAGAACGCGCCCGACGGUGAGGGAUGAAAGCUGGGGGAGCGAACCGGAUUAGAUACCCGGGUAGUCCCAGCUGUAAACGAUGCAGACUAGGUGUUUGGACGGCCACGUGCCGUUCUAGUGCCGCAGGGAAGCUGUUAAGUCUGCCGCCUGGGGAGUACGAUCGCAAGAUUGAAACUUAAAGGAAUUGGCGGGGGAGCAC
rnacentral:rRNA from 1 species